CAGACUGCCCCAAGGGGCUGGCUAUUAUGGACUGAUCUACUGCCUCCGUCUUUAGCUUCCACUUGGUCCAUGGGAGCACCUAUGGGAGGAGCCAACAGGAGGAGACAGAAGGGUAGGAGAGAAAUUUGGACACAGACAUGGAGGGAAGGGAAUGUGAAGGCACAGCGAGAAGAGCGGCACGGGCAAUCCAAGGAGAGAGGUCCUUCCCUCACAGCCUUCAGAAGAAAUCAACCCUGCCAAUACCUUGAUUUUGGACUUCAGCCCCCAGAACUGCACCCCAUCAUCAGUAGGAGUUAGCGUGGCAAGGCUUGAUGGUUCAACCAUGAAUUCCUUAACGUCACUUGCUUCUUGAACUAGGUUUCUGCCAGGUCAGUAACUCAUUUCUGAG